CCGGUGGGUCGCUUUGUCGCCUUUGCGUUUGCAGGGGAGGAAAGUCCGGACAGGAUAGAGCAAGACUCUGUGGAAAGCACAGCUGGGGGUAACUUUAGGCAAAUCGUAACAGAAAACAACCGCCCUCUUAGGGGGGUAAGGGUGAAAACGCGGGGUAAGAGCCCACGACUCAUUAUGGCGACAUUGUGAGGGUACGAACAGUCUCCUGCAAGGCCACAUAUACCGGUGAUUGAGGGCUGCUCGCCCGAUGCCGGGGGGUAGGCUGCAUCAGAUAGAUGACAGAGGCUUCGUAAGGAGUACAGAAUCCGGCUUACAGACCCACCUUUUUU
rfam:Bacteroidetes bacterium GWE2_40_15 gwe2_scaffold_113, whole genome shotgun sequence.